rnacentral:lncRNA from 1 species
CCUCUCUCAUGCCCAAAGGAGUUGGGCUGGUCCAUCAAGUACACUCGAAGAGUCGGAUGUUGAUAGAUCUGCAAGAAGGAAAAAGAAGGUUGUGAUCAAGGGUUGAUUGAGAUUUUGUCAGAGAUCUGAUCGAAGGCUAAUCCAAGAGCUUGCUGAUUCAUUUUGGUGAAGGUGGAUCGAAGUCAGAGAAAGCAUCCUAGUUUGAGCCUAAGUAGAUAUC